UACGAAGGGGGCUAGCGUUGCUCGGAAUCACUGGGCGUAAAGCGCACGUAGGCGGAUUGGUAAAUCAGGGGUGAAAUCCUGGAGCUCAACUCCAGAACUGCCUUUGAUACUGGCGAUCUUGAGUCCGGGAGAGGUGAGUGGAACUGCGAGUGUAGAGGUGAAAUUCGUAGAUAUUCGCAAGAACACCAGUGGCGAAGGCGGCUCACUGGCCCGAUACUGACGCUGAGGCACGAAAGCGUGGGGAGCAAACAGG
rnacentral:rRNA from 1 species